UACGAGGGGGGCAAGCGUUGUUCGGAUUUAUUGGGCGUAAAGGGUGCGUAGGCGGUUUGGCAAGUCUUGUGUGAAAGCCCCGGGCUCAACCUGGGAAUGGCAAUGGAUACUGGCAGGCUAGAGUGCGGUAGAGGGUAGUGGAAUUCCCGGUGUAGCGGUGAAAUGCGUAGAGAUCGGGAGGAACACCAGUGGCGAAGGCGGCUACCUGGACCAGCACUGACACUGAGGCACGAAAGCGUGGGGAGCAAACAGG
rnacentral:rRNA from 1 species